GAUCGGAAGCGAGAAUGUUGACAUGAGUAGCGACAAACAGGGUGAGAGACCCUGUCGCCGAAAGUCCAAGGGUUCCUGCUUAAAGCUAAUCUGAGCAGGGUAAGCCGGCCCCUAAGGCGAGGCCGAAAGGCGUAGUCGAUGGGAACCAGGUUAAUAUUCCUGGGCCAGGAGGAUGUGACGGAUCUCGACGGUAGUUUGCCCUUAUCGGAUUGGGUGAGCUGCUUAGAGGUUCCUGGAAAUAGCCCUCCACAAGACCGUACCCCAAACCGACACAGGUGGACUGGUAGAGAAUACCAAGGCGCUUGAGAGAACCACAUCAAAGGAACUCGGCAAAAUGCUCCCGUAAGUUCGCGAGAAGGGAGCCCCGUCUGUAGGCAACUAUGGGCGGGGGGCACAAACCAGGGGGUGGCGACUGUUUACUUAAAACACAGGGCUGUGCGAAGCCGUAAGGCGACGUAUACAGUCUGACGCCUGCCCGGUGCUGGAAGGUUAAAAGGAGGGGUGCAAGCUCUGAAUUGAAGCCCCAGUAAACGGCGGCCGUAACUAUAACGGUCCUAAGGUAGCGAAAUUCCUUGUCGGGUAAGUUCCGACCUGCACGAAUGGCGUAACGAUCUCCCCGCUGUCUCUGAUGUGGACUCAGCGAAAUUGAACUGUGUGUCAAGAUGCACACUUCCCGCGGUUAGACGGAAAGACCCCAUGAACCUUUACUCCAGCUUUGCACUGGCAUCAGGAUUGUGAUGUGCAGGAUAGGUGGUAGGCAUCGAAGCAGAGGCGCCAGUUUCUGUGGAGCCUCCCUUGAGAUACCACCCUUCGCACUCUUGAUGUCUAACCGCGGCCCGUUAUCCGGGUCCGGGACCAUGCAUGGUGGGGAGUUUGACUGGGGCGGUCGCCUCCCAAACAGUAACGGAGGCGCGCGAAGGUUGGCUCAGAGCGGUCGGAAAUCGCUCGUUGAGUGCAAUGGCAGAAGCCAGCCUGACUGCAAGACUGACAAGUCGAGCAGAGACGAAAGUCGGCCAUAGUGAUCCGGUGGUCCCAAGUGGGAGGGCCAUCGCUCAACGGAUAAAAGGUACUCUGGGGAUAACAGGCUGAUGAUGCCCAAGAGUCCAUAUCGACGGCAUCGUUUGGCACCUCGAUGUCGGCUCAUCUCAUCCUGGGGCUGGAGCAGGUCCCAAGGGUAUGGCUGUUCGCCAUUUAAAGAGGUACGUGAGCUGGGUUUAGAACGUCGUGAGACAGUUCGGUCCCUAUCUGCCGUGGGUGUAGGAGACUUGAGAAGAGUUGCCCCUAGUACGAGAGGACCGGGGUGAACGUUCCACUGGUGGACCAGUUGUCGUGCCAACGGCAGUGCUGGGUAGCUAUGAACGGACAGGAUAACCGCUGAAGGCAUCUAAGCGGGAAGCCCCCUUCAAAACAAGGUCUCCCUUGAGAGCCGUGGAAG
rnacentral:rRNA from 1 species